CCUGAGUAUCACCAUCACUUACAAAGGGCAGCAUAGUAACUUCUUUGAUGUCACUGGGAAAGUGAAAACAGGAAGCAUCGCAGCCCGCUAUGGAAGCCUGGAGUGAUGGGUUUGGGUAAGAGGAUGUGUUUAUCCUGACCCAUCAUGAUAACUUAAUUAUGUUCUUUUUGGGAAAGACCAUAAAAGGCUAAUGUACCCAGGGUUCGUGAUGACACUAAAGGGCACUGGUGAAUGUCCAUCAUCUUUGGGUUUAUCCCGAUACAUUCCUUGUGCUAUCCCUCAGGAAGACUUCCAAAAAGCAUAGAUAACAGCUGGACUUCUGAGUCUUACUCCAAAGGCAGGAGGCUGCAAUCACAUCCUGCAAAGAGGAACCAGAAAACCCAGUUCUGUCCUCUCAUUAUGUGGACUCUGA
rnacentral:lncRNA from 1 species